GAUGAACGCUGGCGGCGUGCUUAACACAUGCAAGUCGAACGAACCUUCGGGUUAGUGGCGGACGGGUGAGUAACGCGUGAGAAUCUGCCCUCAGGAGGGGGAUAACGGUUGGAAACGACCGCUAAUACCCCAUAUGCCUAUUGGUGAAAUGAAUUUCGCCUGAGGAUGAGCUCGCGUCUGAUUAGCUAGUUGGUGAGGUAAUGGCUCACCAAGGCUUCGAUCAGUAGCUGGUCUGAGAGGAUGAUCAGCCACACUGGGACUGAGACACGGCCCAGACUCCUACGGGAGGCAGCAGUGGGGAAUUUUCCGCAAUGGGCGAAAGCUGACGGAGCAACGCCGCGUGAGGGACGAAGGCCUCUGGGCUGUAAACCUCUUUUCUCAAGGAAGAAGAUAUGACGGUACUUGAGGAAUAAGCCACGGCUAAUUCCGUGCCAGCAGCCGCGGUAAUACGGGAGUGGCAAGCGUUAUCCGGAAUUAUUGGGCGUAAAGCGUCCGCAGGCGGCUUUUCAAGUCUGCUGUUAAAACGUGGAGCUUAACUCCAUCAUGGCAGUGGAAACUGAAAGGCUUGAGUAUGGUAGGGGCAGAGGGAAUUCCCGGUGUAGCGGUGAAAUGCGUAGAUAUCGGGAAGAACACCAGUGGCGAAGGCGCUCUGCUGGGCCAUUACUGACGCUCAUGGACGAAAGCCAGGGGAGCGAAAGGGAUUAGAUACCCCUGUAGUCCUGGCCGUAAACGAUGAACACUAGGUGUCGGGGGAAAUCGACCCCUUCGGUGUCGUAGCUAACGCGUUAAGUGUUCCGCCUGGGGAGUACGCACGCAAGUGUGAAACUCAAAGGAAUUGACGGGGGCCCGCACAAGCGGUGGAGUAUGUGGUUUAAUUCGAUGCAACGCGAAGAACCUUACCAGGGUUUGACAUCCUGCGAACCUCUUAGAAAUUUGAGGGUGCUUUCGGGAAUGCAGUGACAGGUGGUGCAUGGCUGUCGUCAGCUCGUGUCGUGAGAUGUUGGGUUAAGUCCCGCAACGAGCGCAACCCACGUUUUUAGUUGCCAGCAUUAAGUUGGGCACUCUAGAAAGACCGCCGGUGAUAAACCGGAGGAAGGUGUGGAUGACGUCAAGUCAUCAUGCCCCUUACACCCUGGGCUACACACGUACUACAAUGCUACGGACAAAGGGCAGCAAACUCGCGAGAGCUAGCAAAUCCCAUAAACCGUGGCUCAGUUCAGAUCGUAGGCUGCAACUCGCCUACGUGAAGUAGGAAUCGCUAGUAAUCGCAGGUCAGCAUACUGCGGUGAAUACGUUCCCGGGCCUUGUACACACCGCCCGUCACACCAUGGAAGUUGGCCAUGCCCGAAGUCGUUACUCCAACCCUUGUGGAGGAGGACGCCGAAGGUGGGGCUAAUGACU
rnacentral:rRNA from 1 species